rnacentral:rRNA from 1 species
AAAAAAUCCGCUAAGGUUAGGGCAGAAGAAUCCGUACCACAAACCGACACAGGUGGACAAGAUGAGUAUUCUCAGGCGCUCGGGUGAUGGUCUGCGAAGGAACUAGGCAAAUUAGCUCCGUAACUUCGGGAGAAGGAGUGCCCACCUCAGACGUGGGUCGCAGUGAAUAGCGUCAGGCGACUGUUUAACAAAAACACAGGUCUCUGCUAAGUCAAAAAAACGACGUAUAGGGGCUGACGCCUGCCCGGUGCCGGAAGGUUAAAAGGAGGGGUUAGUCGCAAGGCGAAGCUCUGAAUUGAAGCCCCGGUGAACGGCGGCCGUAACAAUAACGGUCCUAAGGUAGCAAAUUCCUUGUCGGGUAAGUUCCGACCUGCACGAAUGGCGUAACGAUCUGACGACUGUCGGCGCAGGCCGCCCGGCGAACUUGUGGUUCCGGUGAAGACGCCGGAUGCCCGCCACUAGACGAAAAGACCCCGUGCACCUUUACUAUACUUUAACAAUGAAUUAUGGGAUGGACUGCGUAGGAUAGGUGGGAGGCUUUGAACCCGGAUUCUUGGAUUCGGGGGAGCCAAUGGUGAAAUACCACCCUGUUUAUUCUGCGAUUCUAACCUACCGACCUGAUCGGCCGGAGGGACAUUGUUAGACGGGUAGUUUGACUGGGGCGGUCGCCUCCAAAAUUGUAACGGAGGCGUGCGAAGCUUGGUUCAGGAGGUUUGGAAAUCCUCCUUCGAGUGCAAUAGCAUAAACCAGGUUGACUGUGAGACCUACAAGUCAAGCAGCUGCGAAAGCAGGCUAUAGUGAUCCGGUGAUUCUGUAUGGAAGGGUCAUCGCUCAACGGAUAAAAGGUACGCCGGGGUUAACAGGCUGAUCGGAGUCAAGAGUUCAUAUCGACGCUCCGGUUUGGCACCUCGAUGUCGGUUCAUCGCAUCCCGGGGGUGUAGAAGCUCCCAAGGGUUAGGCUGUUCGCCUAUUAAAGCGGUACGUGAACUGGAUUCAGAACGUCGCGAGACAGUUCGGUCUCUAUCUGUGGUGGGCGUAGGAAAUUUGAAAGGAUCUGCCUUUAGUACGAGAGGACCGAGGUGGACGAACCUCUUGUGAUCCAGUUGUCCCGCCAGGGGCACCGCUGGGUAGCGAAGUUCGGUUAUGAUAAGCGCUGAAUGCAUAUAAGCGCGAAACCUUCCUUAAGAUGAGAUUUCCCAAGCGCAAGCUAUGAAGGGCCGUGGAAGACGACCACGUUGAUAGGCUGGGUGUGUAAGCGUAGUAAUACGUUAAGCUGACCAGUACUAAUCGCCCGUUCGGCUUGAUC